CAGCAGCCACGGGAAUACGAGGGGGGCAAGCGUUGCUCGGAUUUAUUGGGCGUAAAGGGUGCGUAGGCGGUCUGGCAAGUCUCGUGUGAAAUCUAUGGGCUCAACCCAUAGCCUGCACGAGAAACUACCGGGCUUGAGUAUUGGAGAGGUGAGUAGAAUUUCCGGUGUAGCGGUGAAAUGCGUAGAUAUCGGAAGGAACACCUGUGGCGAAAGCGGCUCACUGGACAAUAACUGACGCUGAUGCACGAAAGCUAGGGGAGCAAACAGGAUUAGAUAACCCAGUAGUCCCUGUCUCUUAUAC
rnacentral:rRNA from 1 species